rnacentral:lncRNA from 1 species
CACUGCUUUCCAUUCCCAUUCCUUUCCUUGCUUGUUCUCUCAUUCUCAUUGCUCAAAAACAAACAUUAGCUAUAGGGCGAAGAGCUCACCCGAUGAAGUCACUCGCGUUGUGAUCAAAGAAUCUAUCUUCUCGCAUUGUGAUCAAAGAAUCCAACUCGUCUAAUAUAGAAAGAAGUCACCUCACUACCUAUUACUUAGAAAGAAGUCACCUCACCACCUAUUACUUAGAAAGAAGUCACCUCACUACCUAUUACUUGUUUUUUCGCGCCCUGAGACUAAAGUAAGGGCAUAAACCUAUAGCUAACAUACUUACUUGUUCUUAUGCCGUUGUUUGUUCCAUUACUUGUUCGAUAAAAUGAUGUUUCUUCCGUUGCGAGCCUAUGGAUCUGCCUUGCUUUGGCCUUCUAUCCCAUCGUCUGGAACUCAAUCCAAAAGAAGCCUGUCCGAGAACAGAUGAAUGCUACUGACUUUGGUUCUUUCACCGCCUUCGACUAGCCCUUAAAUCAAUCGCCAUUCUAGCCCAAGUUUGGAUGGAUUCCUCCAACAAUCAAUGGAUUCUUCUGGCUUGCUUUUGGCUGAUCACAGAAGCAAAAAAGGCUCUUCCUGAUGUGAGAUUUACGAGUCGCUAGAGAGGAGAGGGAAAACUUCUUCUUUCAAAGAUAAUACCAGCCCUUUCUCUCCAUCUAAGAAUCCCUUGGCUACGAAAGAAGGC